rnacentral:tRNA from 1 species
UCCCAGGUGACUUAAUGGUAAGGAAUCCUGCCUGCCAAUGCAGGAGACCCAGGUUCCAUCCCUGGGUUGGGAA